GGAUUUGGCGGUACCUAUUCCGACCUAGAGGAGCCUGUCCUAUAAUCGAUACCCCACGUUAUACCCGACCACCCCUUGCAUUUCAGCCUAUAUACCGCCGUCCUCAACCUACCUUAUGAGAGAAACAAAGUAGGCAGAACAGUUAAUAACUAAUACGUCAGGUCAAGGUGUAGCAUAUGGGACGGAAGAGAUGGGCUACAUUUUCUUAAAUAGAAAACACGAACGGCACUAUGAAACAAGUGCCAGAAGGCGGAUUUAGCAGUAAGGUAAAUAAGACACUUCACCUAAAGCCCGCUCUGGGGUGCGC
rnacentral:rRNA from 1 species